AACCUUUUGGAGCCAGCCGUCUAAGGUGGGACAGAUGAUUAGGGUGAAGUCGUAACAAGGUAGCCGUAGGAGAACCUGCGGCUGGAUCACCUCCUUU
rnacentral:rRNA from 1 species